rnacentral:rRNA from 1 species
UACGUAGGGUGCAAGCGUUAAUCGGAAUUACUGGGCGUAAAGCGUGCGCAGGCGGUUUUGUAAGUUUGUCGUGAAAGCCCCGGGCUCAACCUGGGAAUUGCGAUGAAGACUGCAAGGCUUGAAUCUGGCAGAGGGGGGUAGAAUUCCACGUGUAGCAGUGAAAUGCGUAGAGAUGUGGAGGAACACCGAUGGCGAAGGCAGCCCCCUGGGUCAAGAUUGACGCUCAUGCACGAAAGGCGUGGGGAGCAAACAGG